rnacentral:rRNA from 1 species
GAUGAACGCUGGCGGCGUGCCUAAUACAUGCCAGUCGAGCGAACAGACGAGGAGCUUGCUCCUCUGACGUUAGCGGCGGACGGGUGAGUAACACGUGGAUAACCUACCUAUAAGACUGGGAUAACUUCGGGAAACCGGAGCUAAUACCGGAUAACAUGUUGAACCGCAUGGUUCAACAGUGAAAGACGGUCUUGCUGUCACUUAUAGAUGGAUCCGCGCCGCAUUAGCUAGUUGGUAAGGUAACGGCUUACCAAGGCAACGAUGCGUAGCCGACCUGAGAGGGUGAUCGGCCACACUGGAACUGAGACACGGUCCAGACUCCUACGGGAGGCGGCAGUAGGGAAUCUUCCGCAAUGGGCGAAAGCCUGACGGAGCAACGCCGCGUGAGUGACGAAGGUCUUCGGAUCGUAAAACUCUGUUAUUAGGGAAGAACAAAUGUGUAAGUAACUAUGCACGUCUUGACGGUACCUAAUCAGAAAGCCACGGCUAACUACGUG